CCUAGGGAGGCAGAAGUGAGGAAGAGUGGUCAAGGGGCGCGAGCCGGAACCAGCCAAGUCGCGUGAGGGAGGACGGCCCUACGGGUUGUAAACCUCUUUUGCCGGGGAGCAACGGGCGCCACGUGGGGCGUCACUGAGAGUACCCGGAGAAAAAGCAUCGGCUAACUCCGUGCCAGCAGCCGCGGUAAUACGGAGGAUGCGAGCGUUAUCCGGAUUUAGUGGGUUUAAAGGGUGCGUAGGCGGAUCGUUAAGUCAGUGGUCAAAUUGAGGGGCUCAACCCCUUCCCGCCAUUGAAACUGGCGUUCUUGAGUGGACGAGCAGUAUGCGGAAUGCGUGGUGUAGCGGUGA
rnacentral:rRNA from 1 species